AGUAUUUGAUUGCAAACACGCGAUUAAAUAGCAGAUGCACUGAGUAACCAAGACACGAAGAUUUAUUAUUAUUUACAAUUAGGACAUCACACUAUACACGCAUUAUUACCACCGCCGUUUUCCAUCAGCCAUUUCCGCUACUUGGAAGAGUAGCCUUUUGAUUUUCACAUUUGCUAGAAUUUUAUUUUAUUGUGGAACGACUUUAGUCAUUGAUUGCACCAGAAGAUCAUACAUUCAACUCUCAAAUCAUCUCUAGAUUGGGCCAACUCCACUAUCUAAUUAUAUAAUCACCACCAACUCCACUCAAUUGGCACCAACGUUCCACCACGAAAGAGAGAGUUUUAAAAAAACAAAAUGUUGCAAAGCAAGAUAAAAGAAAAGGAAAAGUGUGCACUACAAUCCUUUGCCCACCACCUUUUGCUUUCCUCCACUACAUUCUCCCCACCAUCUUCGAUUCUUGAAGGCUACUAGCCAACACUUCUUCAAGCAAACAAUUCAGCAGCAACCUUCCUCCAUUCACCUCCAUUCAUUCCUUCUCUCAUACACUAAGCACCAGAAAGGGAGAUGAAGAGAAGUUAAUUCCUGCUGCCAACUGCCAAGUAUCGAGAGUUCCUUCCCCAUUGAAUUCAUUAUCAACAACAGCAGCUACCAACACAAAAUACUCAAGGUCAAGCGCGAGAGUAAGAACUACACAAGGAGUUAGAGUACCUUAGCAAAACUUUGCUAUCAGGUUGAGCUGUGAUGGGCGAUGAAGUGUUGUUGCUGAGUGGAGUUUUUGUCGAACUUAAAGUAGGCUCAGAAAGGAUACAUGUCUUCAUACAUGUAUCUCAGUUAUGCAUUCCGCUGUAAACACUGAUUAUUUCAGUUACGCCUUCCGUUGCAAACUCUGAUAAUGUUUUAGCCAAGCCCCUAACGAUGCCUUUUUCCUUUUAAGGAAUAUAAUGCGUAUACAAGUUCUUUGAGUACCCUUUUUAUGCGAACUAUGCCUUUUUCCUUUUUAA